rnacentral:lncRNA from 1 species
UCCCAAGUUUCUCACCUCGUAUGCAAAAGCAUAUCAUCAUUGCUUGCAUGGCAUUGCACAACUUCAUUCGUGAUAGCAAGUUGAGUGAUAAAUUUUUUGAUAAAUGUGAUGCCGAUGAUGAGUAUGUACCUCCGGUGCUACGACGGGAAGUAGCACCAACACAAGCGGAUCCCAUUGAAGAGGAGGAGAACGAAGAUACCAUGAAUACUAUUCAUAGUAGGAUAGCCGAUGCUUGUCUUGCGAUAGCAACAUAGGUUAGCUAUCUUGAUGGAGGUCAUCAUCAUGCGAACUAUAUGUAUAUUCUGUGGUGCAUGCCUUUUGUAACAUAAUUAUGGGGUCAAUAUCUAUUUAUAUAUAAUAUGUAGUAUGCAACUUGAAAGUAUAAUCGUUGAAUUUGUAUGUGUUAGCUGUGAAUCAUCUAAAUUGUCAUAAUUUUUCUUUGCAAAACGGCCGUUCUAUUGCCUGCCAAUGUAUAUAUCACUAUUUUACGGUCAAGUUGCACAUAAAAAUAUUGAAUUAUUGUCCAGGGUCAUUACAGACAAUUCACAGUCAAAUCUGCAGUUUCACGGCUGUUUCAGCCAAACGACUUCCAGCUUUUCCACAACUGAAAGUUCACAACAGCUUUUUCACAGCUCACAGCUCACAGCAGCUUUUACAGAAUCUGCAGCUCAACCAAACACAGCCCUAGGCUGUGUUUAGUUGGACUUCAACUUCCAACUUCUAGGCCCAAAAGCUAUAAUCUGUACCAAAGGGUGUUCCCAGGAAAGCAGAUUCGUAAGAAGUUGCAACUUCUUCUCGUGCAAAUCCCGCAGCCCACAUACCCCAACUUGUCCAGCUUCUCAGCAGACCGUUUUGCUAACUUACCUGAGAGUUGAGGGUUAUUUACCCACCUUUGCCACUCCCUAGUGAAAACGAUUCGCUGCCGAUAAGAAAAAUCUCCUCGUACCAUCGGCAGCAAAAACUCCUCGAGGGAAAAUCCCCUCGUCCCGAGCGACGGGCUAGGGUUUCUAGCCGCCGCCAGCCCUACCGGCCCUCCACCGCCGCCGCCAGCACCGCCUUCAGUGCUGCAGGCUCUCCACCGCCGCCCGAGCUACGCCCCCUACGUAUCCAUCCUCCUCUAAGCAGUACGCCGCCCGCCCAGUGGCCCUUCCUCGCCGGCCGUCCGACACUGUCGACCGGAGCUGCGCAGCCCUCCACGGCGAGGUAGCCUCCGUCGUUACUCCCGCCUUCCUCCUCUUCCAUCCCUGAGUACAGAUUUCUUGCUCGUAGGUGGUGUAUUUGGGAUAAAUUGUGUACAGAUUGACUGACAGUACAGAUUGCUUGCUAGUACAGGUUGCUUGUGCUUCUGUUGUGAGUGGAGCCUAUGUAGUACCUUUCUAACGUGAAUUUAGUUGACAUUGAUUGCUUGCUACGUUCUGCUAUGGAUAAAUUGGAAGAUGUUUACAUAUUAUACAACUAUUAUACAUGUGGCAGGGUAUUAAAAUUAUUUUGCUUGAUUGAAGAAUGACUGAAAAAGCGGUGUGGGAUGAUGCACGUCUGAAGAAAGUCAUAGAAAUAUUCAGAGAAGAGGUUGAAAAUGGGAAUAGGCCCUUAGGUUAUUUUACUAAGAAGGGCUGGGACAAUGUUAUCGAGAAAUGGGAAGCAAGAAUGGGAAAGAAGUAUCCCAAGGAUAAAUUCAAGAAUAAAUGGGAUGCAAUAAAAAAUGACUAUGUGUUUUUCAUGGAGUUGAAAAAUGAAGCAACCAGGCUUGGAUGGGAUGAUGCAAAGAGAACCGUUGUUUGCCCUCAAGAAUGGUGGGAUGAACAUGUUGUGGUAAGUGUAGCAACUUUUUUUAUUUGGCAUGCUUUUCAAUGAUUGCAUUACCUGAUUUCUACUUUCAUUUUCAGAGAUGCCAAGAGAGGACGGGAAAGAAAUGCAAUCAUUUGAAGUUCAAACGAGAGGGUCCGAAGCACCUUGAAGAUUUACAUGUCAUAUUUCACAAAGUACAUGUCACAGGGGCUAGUGCUUCUUGUGCUGGAGAUAUAUCUUCUGAUGAAUCAAGUGAUGAUAAUGCGGUUCCUUUGAAGAAACCCGAUGAUAGUGAUGAAAUGAAGUUGGCAUCUUUGAAGAAACCAAAAGAAAGCAUGAAGCGCAAGCAACCUUCAAUAAAAAAUGAGGAGAAGGAAGAGAAGAGUCCCUUCUUACGAUUGUACAAGCAGACAUGUGAGAAGAUAGAAAGUGGAGUGGAGAAGAUAACCUCUAGUGUUGAAGCAUCAUCGGCUCCUCCUCCAACCAACCUUGUCCCUACCAUUUCGGAGGUUAUGAAGUUGGUGAAAGAUUGUGGUGUGAAAGAAAAAACUGCUCUCAUGCACACAACCCUCACUCUUAUAGUGAAGCCUGACUUUAGGGAAAUCUUUAGUCUUCUUGAAACAAAAGAAGGGAGGCCUGGUUAUCUGGAGAGGGAGCAUCAGAAGUAGAUGUUGAAGCACGUGUUGUGAACCAUAUGUACUCAUGUUGUAGAACUACAUUUGCUUUCAGUGUAGAAACUUAUUUUCUUAUGUUGUGAACCGUAUUUGUUUGUGUUGUGAACCUUAUUUUCUUAUACAAUCAUAUUUUCUUGUGUUGUAAGGGGUCCCAAGUUUCUCACCUCGUAUGCAAAAGCAUAUCAUCAUUGCUUGCAUGGCAUUGCACAACUUCAUUCGUCAUAUCAAGUUGAGUGAUAAUUUUUUUGAUAAAUGUGAUGCCGAUGAUGAGUAUGUACCUCCAGUGCUACGACGGGAAGUAGCACCAACACAAGCGGAUCACGUUGAAGAGGAGGAGAACGAAGAUACCAUGAAUACUAUUCGUAGUAGGAUAGCCGAUGCUUGUCUUGCGAUAGCAACAUAGGUUAGCUAUCUUGAUGGAGGUCAUCAUCAUGCGAACCAUAUGUAUAUUCUGUGGUGCAUGCCUUUUGUAAUAUAAUUAUGGGGUCAAUAUCUAUUUAUAUAUAAUAUGUAGUAUGCAACUUGAAAGUAUAAUCGUUGAAUUUGUAUGUGUUAGCUGUGAAUCAUCUAAAUUGUCAUAAUUUU